rnacentral:rRNA from 1 species
UACGUAGGGUGCAAGCGUUAAUCGGAAUUACUGGGCGUAAAGCGUGCGCAGGCGGUUUUAUAAGGCAGAUGUGAAAUCCCCGGGCUCAACCUGGGAACUGCAUUUGUGACUGUAGAGCUGGAGUACGGCAGAGGGGGAUGGAAUUCCGCGUGUAGCAGUGAAAUGCGUAGAUAUGCGGAGGAACACCGAUGGCGAAGGCAAUCCCCUGGGCCUGUACUGACGCUCAUGCACGAAAGCGUGGGGAGCAAACAGG